ensembl:lncRNA
GGGUGAGCUAUGAACUGGUCACACAGGUUGGCUGGGUUCCUGAGCUAAAAUAGGGCCGAGUACUUGUUUACUAUUCGGAUACUGCUACGGGGUGCCCUCUCAGCGAACCCUCCCGAUUUGCAAAUCUGCUCAACCAAAGGAAGGGGAAACCCCCACGGUCUCGACAACCACCGUCCUCACACCUUUCGCUGUUUUUCCUCAGUGUGUUCAAGACCCGACGCCUGAGAUCGCGAUCCCGCACAAGAUCCCCUUUUCCAGGAGAAAACGCCCCUUGCUCGUCGUUUUCCAAUAGCCAAGCUGGGGUGAAGAGAGAGGGAAGCCCGGAUUCCAAGCAACGAGGUGGACCAAGCUGAGGCUACGGCCGACGGAGGUGCGGGGCGGGUCAGCCCACCCGCGGCCACGGGCGUCCGAGCGGGCCGGGGACCUGGAGCUCGGAGGCCCUUCCCUCUGGCGGGGCGGAGCGACCUCCCCCUGCCCAGCCUCUCGGCUGCCUUUUCCUUCUCCCGCGGAAGGCGGCUUCCCAGACGCUCCUGGCACCAUGGCUGGGUCCGCCGUGCGUGCCGGACGGUUCGUGCCCCUGGCGGCCCCCUCCCUUUCCUACUGCACUCGCUUCGGGGCCGAAGGACCCGCCGCAGCAGCGCAAGCCCCGCAACCCAGCCCACCCUAUGGCAGCGGAAAGCCGCGCGCACAGCGGGUCCCGGCUGGUGAAGACCCGGCCGCCCGAGCUUUCUCCAGCGCUCCAGCUCCGGGGCCGGACAACAAGAGCUUUCUGUGGGCGCGCUACGGCGAGAUGAAGCGGCUGGUGCAAGGCUCCCGUUUCGGGACGUUAAUUUCGAGAUGUCUCCCUUCCUAAAGCUUUCCAAGGGGGCGAUUCAUCUACGAGACGCCAUCCGGAGGACCUCGGCGAUCCACGUAUGCCGCUUCUCGUGUCCCCGGGUGCCAGGUUGGAUGCCGGGCUUUUGCGCACGCACGAGCUUGCACGUCGAACCGUCGUCUUGGGUCGUUUCUUCAGCCCCAUUCCUUCUUUUGUCACUUCCCGCUUGAUCAGACAAGAGGUUUUGGCGAGGCUCUUCGUCAAGAGCUUUCGACCUCUCGCUCCCCUCGAAAUCUGCUUUCGAGAAUUGAACGCCGGCUAAUUUGUCGCCCCUUUCAACGAAAACUUCGGCCUCUCCUGCACACGGUUGUGAUAAAUCGGUCUCGCCUUCGCGUCGCUCCUCUCCUCCUCCUCCUCCAUCUGUAUCUGGAAUUCGGGGUCUGGUAUUUUUCCCCCCAAGGCAUUUAGGCUGGGAUAUCCCCCUUCUCUCUUUCCCUCCCUCCCCCUAGUUUGCAAGGACGUGCUGGAGGUGGGAGGGAGUGAUUUGUAGCAAGUUUGGAUAGUUGUUGCUUUGUGUCUGGUUCGCAGGGAGGGAGAGGACUCGGUGGGAAGAAGAGAAUAACGACAGAGAAUCCUUUGGGGUGUUGAAGGUCAAUUUUCUGUGAUAUGUUCCCACAAUGUUUUUUUCCCCUGCUGACUAUAUAUAACAUUUAAUGCAUCUAAAAUCUCCAGCUGAUCAGAGUGUUUCAAGACUCUUAACAUAAAGGAAUUAAUCCUUUAUUUUCCCAGAUGUUUUAAGUGUCUGUUCUGGCUGCAGCAGCUUUUUUUUUACUGCAUCUAACCAAGGCCAACAACAUUUUUUUUUUUUUUGCUACAUCCAGUCAGGCCCAGC